rnacentral:rRNA from 1 species
AUUGAACGCUGGCGGCGUGCCUAACACAUGCAAGUCGAGCGGUAACAGGUGUAGCAAUACAUGCUGACGAGCGGCGAACGGGUGAGUAAUGCUUCAGAAUCUACCCAAUGGUGGGGAAUAACCAGCCGAAAGGUUGGCUAAUACCGCAUACGUCCCACGGGAAGAAAGCAGGGGAUCGCAAGACCUUGCGCCAAUGGAUGAGCCGAAGUCGGAUUAGCUUAGNGGUAGGGUAACGGCCUACCAAGGCGACGAUCCGUAGCUGGUCUGAGAGGACGACCAGCCACACUGGGACUGAGACACGGCCCAG